UCAAUUCACUACUAAAUACUACUAACUAACUAUGUCACCUAAUAUGUACCUAAGUAUAUAACUACUUAACUAAAUAUCGUAAUAACUAUAUUACUAUGUAACUAACUAUAUAUCUAACUACGUAAACGAAGAAAAUUAUAUCUAACUAUCUAUUUCUCUAUCUAACAAUUCUAUCUUCUUAUCUAUUUAUCUAUCUAUAAACACAUACACCUAGUUAAAUAGUGUCAUGAGUAUUCUGUAUUCCUUUUAUCGUUGCAAUUCAUACACAAAACCUACCAAACUAAAUUAGUUUUCAUAUCUAACAAUUCUAUCUAACUAUCAAUUUAUCUAUCUAACUAUUUAUCUAACAAUUCUACCUACCUAUCUAAACUGUACCUAACAAUUCUAUCUUCUUAUCUAGGGUUUAUCUAUCUAACUAAUCCAUUCUAUCUAACUAUCAAGUUAUCUAUCUAACUGUUUUAUCUAACAAUUCUACCUACCUAUCUAAAUUC
rnacentral:lncRNA from 1 species